rnacentral:rRNA from 1 species
GACGAACGCUGGCGGCGUGCCUAAUACAUGCAAGUAGAACGCUGAAGCUUGGUGCUUGCACCGAGCGGAUGAGUUGCGAACGGGUGAGUAACGCGUAGGUAACCUGCCUGGUAGCGGGGGAUAACUAUUGGAAACGAUAGCUAAUACCGCAUAAGAGUAGAUGUUGCAUGACAUUUGCUUAAAAGGUGCAAUUGCAUCACUACCAGAUGGCCCUGCGUUGUAUUAGCUAGUUGGUGAGGUAACGGCUCACCAAGGCAACGAUACAUAGCCGACCUGAGAGGGUGAUCGGCCACACUGGGACUGAGACACGGCCCAGACUCCUACGGGAGGCAGCAGUAGGGAAUCUUCGGCAAUGGACGGAAGUCUGACCGAGCAACGCCGCGUGAGUGAAGAAGGUUGUCGGAUCGUAAAGCUCUGUUGUAAGAGAAGAACGAGUGUGAGAGUGGAAAGUUCACACUGUGACGGUAUCUUACCAGAAAGGGACGGCUAACUACGUG